GCUGAGAGAUGGCGCUCACUACACAACUGUGAGGACCAGAGUUUGGAUGCUAGCACCUGCAUUAUAAGCCCUGCAUCCCCAAAUACCUGUAACUCCAGGUCUGAGGAAAAUGACUCCCUUUUCUGGUGUCUUUGUGCAUAGGCAUGCACACCUGAACACAUGUGUACAUAGACUCGUACAGACACAGACACACACAAAUAAAUCUUUAAAAAAUUAUACUCAGUGGACUGAGGGUGUAGCUGAAACUCUAGGUUUGAUCCUUAGUACCGCAUAAACCAGGUAUUCAGGGAGGUGGAAGCAGGAAGAACAGAGGUUCAAAGUCAUCCUCAGCUGUGUAAAAGUUUAAAGAACCUGGGAUAUGGGAGAGCCUGUGUUUUACAAAAAUCAAAAAACAAAAAUCAGAAAAUGAAAAACAUUAUGCUUAAGUUAGAGAAAAGAGAGCAUAUCCAUUGACAGUGCGCACACACACACACACACACACACACACACACACACACUAACAGUGAUGAAGGGAGCAGCAUCAUGACUGCAGAUUUAUAUGGUCAUCUGUGGGUACUCACUGCAGUACCACACCUUCAAUGCUACCAUUGAUGGCCUCUGAGAAUAUCCCUGGUUCUGGAUAUGUUGAAGGUAAAUUGUCCUGAAAUGGUACAGUGACUGGCAGAGUAGAUGUUUUCCUCAGGGACUCACUGAGACUGCCUUGUGCAGAUACUGCUAGGCUGUAAACAAGUGAAUGGUGCCUAUGUGGCUCUUCUUUAUCUGUUAAUUUGUUGAGUACUUAUUAUGUACGAGACCCAACAUUUCAGGAGCUGAGAAUACAGUGGUGAGCAAUCCCGAGACCAUCCCUGCUGUCCUAGAGUACAGCUAUCAGUGAGAGAGACAUUGCAGAAUGCAAAUAUGUAAAUGUACGCUUACAGCUUGAGCUAGUUGAUGGGUAAUUACAGCUGCUAUGCAGUGACCAUAAGGGUGGGUUCACUUUAGAUCAGUGGUUCUCAACCUUCACAAUGCUGUGACCCUUCAAUACAGUUCCUCAUGUUGGGUCACCUCGUGGGUGAUCCCAACCAUAAAAUUACUUGUUUGAUACUUUAUAAUUGUAAUUUUACUAGUGUUUUGAAUUGCAGUGUAAAUAUCUGAUAUGCAGGAUAUAUGAUAUGCAACCCCCAAAGGGGUUGAGACCCAUAGGUCGAGAACCACUGUUUUAGAUCAAUGCAUUCUGCAAAGGCCUUUAAGAAUAGGUGGGUGAGGAGACUUUAGCCACUUCAGAUUUGGAGUACAGGGGGAGUGGAGAAGAUAGUGUUCUGGAAUCUUCUUGGGAUGGGAUUGACUGAGCUGGGAGUAGGUUGGCAUCUUUAAAGCUCUGAAACAGGCCUCUGUGGCUGGAAUGCAAAGAGGGAGGAAGAGAGUUGCAGAAGAUGAAGUGACAAAUUAGAAAGGUUUCCUAGCAAGAGGGUGUGUGGGUGUGUUUUAAAGUCCUUAAGUCUCAUUGCUCUUCAUGUAAGUGGGAAAAAUCAAAACAAACCAAACAAAACCCUCACACUGAUCUGUGACUGAAAUCAAAUGAAAAAAUUGAUAAAAUGAAAGUUGAUGUGUUUUAGAAAGAUUAUAGACUCUGGAGUGAAAUGUUUUUUCCAGUCUUGGUUCGUCAUGCUGGGGUUCAAAUGCAGGGCUUUGCAUAUGCUAGACAAGUACGUUUCCAGCUGAGCUACAUCUGCAGCCACACCAUCUCUGCUUGUUAAUCAUGUGGCCUUGGGUUAGUUACUUGACUUCUCUGAGGCUCUUCAUUUGCAGAAUGGAUCUACUCUUCUUCCUCCUCCCUCCUCUCUCCUCCCUCCUCCCUCCUUAAAGCAUAGUGUUUGUAUAUAGACCAUGAACCAAGUGAGACUGGUGGGUGCAGACAGCAUGCUUGUAGUGAUGGUAAGAAUCUCUGUCUGGCCCUACAAUAACUGAAAAGGCAAUUCUUCUUCUUAUUAUAAAUGUAGAUUAACAGAGCUGGCAUGGACUGUUAGGAAGCUGGUUUUCAUUUCAGAGAAAGAAUUAUAAGCCUAAAUUUACUAUGAAAGUCAUAUAUGUCGAAUGCUUUAUAGCCAGUUCAGAGAGUAUCAUACAAGUAGAUGAUGUCCUGAAAGUGCCAGCAUAUAAUCUUUAAAACAAAAAUAGGGUUUUCUGUAUUUCUCACCAAAUUUUCCAGUUAAAUUUAGCACAAACAAGAUUUGCCAUAUACUAUGUGGUAGGUGUCUGUGGCUUGUUGAACUAUUCAUGAAGAGAGAAGUAUAGCAAAACUGACAUAAUACAAAAACUGUGGUCCAAAAAUUUUAGUCACAUUAUUAGAUGAUAAUGAAAUAACUUGUGUCUCACUAGUGGGGAGUUCUGAAUGGAUGGAAGCCAAUUACUCAUUGUGUCCAAGUUCUUCAAACUGUUGUGGAGUUUAUCCAAAUGCUAAUGACAAGGCAAAGAAUUUUGACAAUGACAAAGUAUUUUCAGAUAAGAAAUCACUUGAGAAAAAUACAUUUUAGACUGUUCUUUGUGGCACCUGAUUGUAAUCCUAGCAAUUUGGAAUCUGAGACGGAAGGAUCAGAAUUCGGAGGCCACCCUGAGCUAAUAAAUUCAAGACCAGCUCAAGACUAGUUUGGUUUCUGUAGCUAGCAAUCCUGAUUCAGUGCCCCACCCCCCACGCCAUCCCACCCCACC
rnacentral:lncRNA from 1 species